AUGUCCUUUAAAAUUAGUCCCGUGAGGCUAGCAAGGCAGGCUUAAAUAAAAGUUUUGACUUUACUGAAAGCUCCUAGUCUCAAAGUAGACUGGGAGCUUUUUUCAU
rfam:Lactobacillus acidophilus NCFM, complete genome.